GAUUGCCUUAGUAUCGGCGAGCUGAAGCGGCAAAAGCUCAAAUUUGAAAUCUGGCACCUUCGGUGUCCGAGUUGUAAUUUGAAGAAGGUAACUUUGGAGUUGGCUCUUGUCUAUGUUCCUUGGAACAGGACGUCACAGAGGGUGAGAAUCCCGUGCGAUGAGAUGCCCAAUUCUAUGUAAAGUGCUUUCGAAGAGUCGAGUUGUUUGGGAAUGCAGCUCUAAGUGGGUGGUAAAUUCCAUCUAAAGCUAAAUAUUGGCGAGAGACCGAUAGCGAACAAGUACAGUGAUGGAAAGAUGAAAAGAACUUUGAAAAGAGAGUGAAAAAGUACGUGAAAUUGUUGAAAGGGAAGGGCUUGAGAUCAGACUUGGUAUUUUGCGAUCCUUUCCUUCUUGGUUGGGUUCCUCGCAGCUUACUGGGCCAGCAUCGGUUUGGAUGGUAGGAUAAUGACUAAGGAAUGUGGCUCUACUUCGGUGGAGUGUUAUAGCCUUGGUUGAUACUG
rnacentral:rRNA from 1 species